rnacentral:rRNA from 1 species
AACGAACGCUGGCGGCAGGCUUAACACAUGCAAGUCGAGCGCCCCGCAAGGGGAGCGGCAGACGGGUGAGUAACGCGUGGGAACGUACCUUUUGGUUCGGAACAACUCCGGGAAACUGGAGCUAAUACCGGAUAAGCCCUAACGGGGAAAGAUUUAUCGCCGAAAGAUCGGCCCGCGUCUGAUUAGCUAGUUGUUGAGGUAACGGCUCACCAAGGCGACGAUCAGUAGCUGGUCUGAGAGGAUGAUCAGCCACACUGGGACUGAGACACGGCCCAGACUCCUACGGGAGGCAGCAGUGGGGAAUAUUGGACAAUGGGCGCAAGCCUGAUCCAGCCAUGCCGCGUGAGUGAUGAAGGCCUUAGGGUUGUAAAGCUCUUUUGUCCGGGAAGAUAAUGACUGUACCGGAAGAAUAAGCCCCGGCUAACUUCGUG